rnacentral:lncRNA from 1 species
UCCUCCUUCCUGUAAUAGAAAGCAGUGAUCUUGAAUUGCAUGUAGGGGUUAUCUUGUGCUUUGAUUACUCUCCUCUUCAUAAGAGACUGAUAUUUCUAUUUUUUUUUAUUAUAUUUAGUGAAUCAAAUUUUUGUUCAGAACUCAAUUUCAGUUUCCUUAAUGGUCGCAAUAUUUCAACUACACUUACAAAUGCAGGUAAGAGUGCUAGCAGCUGGCAUAAUCAGUUUCAGACAAGGGAAUUCUCAUUUUCAGAUGCUAAUGAGAGCCCAUGUUGAUGUCUAAGGCGCUACACUUGCCACUAAUGGUUGGCACUGCUUAAUAUUACAGGGAGAAAUUCUAAUGGCUGCGGGUAGUUGAGAUAGAGACUGUAAAAAUGUUCUCCUGUUUCUUUUUAGUUCUUGGUUUAUUAUUUGAUAAGUGGUUCUUAGAAGGUGAAGGAUCAUAUUCUUUGUCAGCAAACUUUGAUUUGACUUUUGCAACUUCAUUUUAGGCAAAUGUUUAUUGUGCCUUUUGGAGCUCCAAGCACCUACAUAUUUAUGUGCUUUAAUCCCAUUAUUUGCUAUAGAAGUGAAGACAAAAUAAAGCAUAGUUUAAAAGGUUCUGCUUACAAGGAUUUGUAAUGCAAAGGUUUGAGGAUUGAUUGAAAUGGAUCAGAGUCCUCAUUGUUAUACUCCAACUCCUAGAUCUUAUUGUUCUUCUGAAUAAGUUGCCUGCUUGAUAUUCUUGAUUCUCUUUAGCAGGUUCAAAUGUGGAUGACUACUAAAUAGUUGUUUCAAACUCCUGACAAUGUUAUAGUUACCAGCAGAAUGUUUAUUUAGAAGGCCAUAACUAUGUUUGUAAUCCCUUGUAUAAAGCAGGGCAAUGAUGAACAGUAUUGGUUGUAUUUAUGAGAUGUAAUGGAUAUUAAGUUCACAUUGUGAGAUAUACUACUUAUCACUAUCUACACAGACAUUUAAAUCUCUCUCUCUCUCUCUCUCUCGGCAUUUGAAAUGGGUCUGUUGAGGCCUCGCGUCCCUAGUGAUCCAUGUAGUUGUCAAAUGGAUGGACGCACGAUCUCAACCAAUAUAGAUUCUUGAUUCAAUCGUACUACCUGCAAAAGGCGUCAGGACGGGGUGUCCGGACGCACCCUCCGAUGGUUUUGUCAACCAUGAUAAGAGAGAUAAGUCAGUUGACCUUUUACUAGGUGCAGCAAGCUUACCUUCUUCUUUGUGUGAAGGUUCAUAUAUAUAUAUAGUAUCAGAAGCUUUGUUUCUCUCUUUAAUGGUAGGGAGAUAUUUUGUGUUGUCAUGAUGACACUAGGUGGUGGCAGAGCCAUCAUCACCCUACGGGCGGCUGACAAAGAUCGUGAUAGGUGCUGCAACUGUCAGAAAUCGUGAUAGGUGAUCGUGGGAAGUGAUCGUAGGAAGUGACUUGCCGUCACUUCAUUCUUGUCCUUUCACCCUGUAGGUGGCGGAACGUGGGUCAUGACAGGCUGUUGUGAUAACGUGUAAGACUUGCUUACUUCAGUCAAUGAUCCAGAUAAACAUACCCGGAUAGUGUAUGUCGGUCGUCCGGAUGCGCUGUGGCAGUCGUCCGGAUGUUAUGUUUGUGAAUGUCGUGUGCCUCUCCUUGAGGGAGUCCGGAUAGGAGAAGCGCGCCACGUGUACUCUUGGGGAAAUCCGAAUGAGGCUAAUCCGGAUGAGAAUGUGUGUCAUGUGUCCUUAGGAGAUGUGUGCCACGUGUGGGGAGGGGUCCCUACAGGGCCUACUUCGUUUCUUCCAUUUCUUAGGAUUUUAAGAAAAGAAGGAUUUAUGCCUCCCAAGCAUUAUAGAAAACAAAAUCAUCAUCCCCUCUCCGUGUGAUGUCCAAAUUAGGAGUGACUGGGACUUCCUGAAUAUUAGAUGGUUUUCCAGUUCACAAAUAUUCCUACAGGGGGCCAGGUUUGGCCUCAUUGGGUGCCUUUUUGGUCUGGAAGCGACCACCAGAUGUCUAGAAUUCAAACCUUGCCCUACUGCUUGGUAAAUAUUAACUUCGUGAUUAUCUAAUGUCAUCCAGUUUAAAUUUUGAUUAGUUUAAAUUCCAAUAUUUCAAUUAACUUUUGAUAUACAUUCAAUGAUGUUAAAAACGAUUCAAAUCCCCGAUGUUGACAUUGUUGGGAUAUAUUCUGUGAUGUAUCAACCAGCACAGUGAGAUGAUCACAGAAAACUGGGUAACAGUCCAUCAGAUAAUGGAAAAUCAUGGAGGUUCAUGCAGAUAUGGAGAGAGGGUGAUAUUUCAAUGACACGUCAGGAUAUGGAUAAUAAAGCAAAGCUAAAGUGAGUCUUGUAUUCGAGACUACUGGACUCCACUGUUCUGUGACCCACAUGCAUAGUUGGAGGAGACCAUGCCAUGGUACAAGCACCAUUGAAUGAGGAUUCAGGGCCUUAUCUUUGAAUAAGAAUAGGAGAAGAAAAUCAUGUGAAUGUAUAAGUUUGAUUCCCGCCAUACAGUUUGCUAAUCAAUAAUGAUGGGUUGGAUCAAUGAACCUGAUUUCUGGGUCAGGCAGAAGGAGAAUACUACUCAAUUCAAAUGGCAUUGGACAAUAGAAAUUCUAAGCCUCCUGGUUCUAGACAAAUACCUCUCGGAUAUAAAUGCAUCUCAUCUGAACUGCUAGGCUAUGACAUAGUGGGAAAUUCUUUCUUUGAAAAGAAUUGAAAUACCAAUGUACUGGUUUGACCUGAGAAGACAUGGUUUGGAUGAAAGUAGAAAAGGACAAGCUCCUAAAAACAGGGGCUACUUAGUUAGGGAUGUAGUGGCCCCAAGAGUCAGAAGCCCUUUAUUUUGAAGGUUUUGCUGGGAUUUCACUUUCAUGUUCUUUAGAGUCCUAAUCUGAACUAGGGAAAUCCACUUGUUCAGAGGCCUUGACCACCUUCGUUGGUGCUUGGUUUCAGUUGCAUGAGAAAUAAACCCCUGCUAUGUAAUGAGUUUAGUAAAGAGAAGCCACUAAAGAUGACCCUGGCUUCUUAUCUUUUUUGGCUUUAUUUGAAAAAGAAAUGAUGGGAUUAGGAAAAAUGAUGCUCUUUCCAAACUAGUUGUCUGAGUUGCUUCUACAGCAUGCACAGCAAGCCCCAUAAUAAAUAACAUUUAGAUAUUAUGUGUUGUCAAAGGAUAUACUUAGAGAAGCUAGCGUUACUCCCCAUUGUUACUCCACAAGUUCCAGCUGAGCUGCAGGAUUCUUGAACGUUUUAUUAUGUUCUCUCAAGAACUUAAAUAAUAUUCUUGGUAGAACAUAGUAAGGAUUAGUGUGCAUAAUAUGUGCAGUUUCUUUAUGUUUUGGUUCUAAAUCUUGGUCACUAACAAGAAACUUUCUUGGAAUAACUGGUUUGAUUUGGUUGCUAGCUGCAACUCAAACCCUAUAACUGAAUCUUUUUGCACCGACUGAAUACGUGCCUAGAGUGAAAAUGUGGUACUCAGGAAUUUCUUCCUUUCAUACCAUUUUUGGAUUAUCAAUUGGAUUCUUGAUGGGUUAAAGCACCAAAAAAAAAAACUGUACUUUUUAUAAUUAUGAAGAGAUUAAACUAAUAAGUACAUUUAUGCCCAAAAACAAUCUAGGGUUUACCAUCUGUCUCAUCAUUCUACCUUCUCUAUCCUUAAAUUAUUUCCAAAGCUGCCAAAGUUCCAACUGGUGUUAUAGGAGACAAACCUGUUGGCCUAGUCGCUGACACUUCUGAUAGAUUUCAUUCAAUGGUUCAGAGAAUCUUUUUUGGACCCUAUCUUCUCACCUGCUUCCCCUUGUAUUGUGCUUUAGAGUCAUGCCAUUCAGAACUAACAUAUAUAUGUAUAUAUAUAUAUAUAUAUAUUUAUCAGACAUUCAGAACUAACAUAUAACAAGGUACCUUCUGCAAUUGUGGUAUUUGAUGUUUACUAGUGAAGGAGGUAAAGGAUUAUACCACUUAUUUUUGCUAAAUGGGGUUGAUGAUUGCAUUGGGUGUGACUUGCUGGUCCAUCCCCUAGUUUCCAAUGGACAUUUACUUCCUUGAGAAUGUUAAAUCAAAGGCUAGUAUAAAGUUCAUCACAAAUGCAUGCAAGCAUGGUAAGAAGUGCUUAAGCUGGGGUUCUGUAGGUACAAAGAAUCAUUCCCCUCCUUUAUCGGGAAACGUGAUUCCUUCUCACCUAUGUUAGGAAAGAAAGUGCAGGAAGUCCAGUCCUACUGGUACCAAAUUCAAUUCUGUUUACCACAAAUUUUCUAGUGCCCCAUAAGACUGAAAUUUAUCUUUUAUGUUAGAUUUCAAAUGUAUUUAUUUCAAUUUCCCAAAGCUCCACAAGAUGCUGAAAGUUAUAUUGCAUGUCAUCCUGUUUAUAAGCAAAUCCCAUUCAUGGCUCUGUUGGAUUUUCAGCAGAAAAGGAAUGGUUUGUAUCUUGUUUCCAUGUCUCUUGUGACAUGUUACAUUUGUUCAAGCCUCUCCAGAUGCAGUUGCCAUGUCGAACAAAAUGGACUAGUUUGACAAAAUCUAUUGAGGAUCUUUUUGGCACAUUUCUCAGUAUUAGGUAUUCCAUGUUCUUUUUCUGAUUUUGACUUUUGGUAUGCUUGAUUUGCUAAAUAGAACUGGUUUCUUCUUUUCUAUGUCUCUGUUUUUCUCCAAUGUUAGCAUGGCAAGCACACUAGAAAGCUUCUUUCAACCAGAAACACCUUUACUUCAAUUGUAAAAGGCUAAAAACAUAGUACUAAGCCCAUCUAGUGCCUCUUUAUAUAGCAGUAAAAAAAACUAGAGAAUCAUAAUUUUCAAAUGCAUCUCUGGGAGAAAGGGGUGAGCCCUUGAACAACCUACUAUCUUGACUAAAACUAUUGGCAUCCUUUUCCCACCUCACCAGCUUGUGUAGUGGGGAAACUGCCCUGCUUUUAAUCCAAGUAAAAUGCUUAGGUGGUUACCUCAUCAGGACAUAUGCUCGAUCAUUUAAAAAUCAGUAAGGUUGAGAGCAAAUCUCUAUGAGCUUUUCUGAUGUGGCUGCCACUAUGUGUGACAGUUUCUAUAUAUCCUGAACAUAUUCUGGCUCUUCUGCUCCCCCACCACUACCUCCAUCAAGAUCACUGCCACAUCCACAGCUCAUAUAACUGCAGCCCUAUACACUUCUGUUUACAUCAGCAAUUAAUACUACAAAUCUAUGGGGGAUUUCAAUCUAAGUGAAUCAAUCACUAAUAGAAUAUGAUCAAGACAAGGAAUACAGAAGCAUAUCCUAUCAAACCCGUUCUCUCUCUCAGACGCACAUACAUGUGCGAUUCUUUCUAUAUUAGGAAGAAGCCAAAGGGCAAAAAUAAUGAUGAUGCAAUGCCUGUCACUGUCUCAACAUGAAGACAAAUGCAAAGUAGAAAAAGAAUGGUAAAUUUAGUUUAGUAGGGGCCUUUUACAUACAAAUUUUACUUUGUCCUAUAUUUUUCUUGGGGAGGAUUUGGUUAAAAGUGAAUUGUAACGAUCUUUCAACCUAUCCUAGUGUCAGGGUAAAGAAAGCCUACACACCAAGCUCUCUUAUAGGCCAUCAAUCUCACCUCUGAAAGGUCCUCACCAUCAUGUGUAGAGGUGUGAAAGUGUGGAACUUCCUUCUUAGUGGCCUCAAAGUAAGUUAUUAAAUACCGCUUGUCCCUUAAUAUAUCUAAAGAUAGAGGCCUGUGUUUUAAUCUCAUCGACUGAUGGAGGAACACUUCAACUCAAUACCUGCUAUUCAUCUCCUUCAACAUACCUUAAGAAGCUUGUGUAUUCAUGAAGACUCCCUGUGGGUAUAUGCAGUUUUUUGGAGAAUCUUACCUAGAAACUAUCCACCACCAAAGUAAGUAUGAUCAUGACCAACAGUGAUUGUUUUUGGCUCCAAUAAGUAAAGGAGCCCAUGAUUUUAAUUCCAAGUUAGGCAGAUGUUUUCUUUUGCUGUGCUUUUAACUUCCUGAGUUUCUAACAGUUGGGAUUUCCAAGGAGCUUUUGACAGGUCAAGAGGAAACAGGAGGAAUUGGUAUUCACUAGGAAGUUUCAUUUUUCUAGUUUUCUGCACUCCCCAAGCUUUAUUUCACUUGAAUGGUCUUUCAUGGUUAGUAUGUCCCAGGAUACUGGUAUGGGAGGAUGGCUUCUGCAACUUCAUUCCUUCAACCACUGAGAUUAAUCCUGGAGCAGGAUCCUCAGUUCACAGAAACUCUGAAGUUAGACUCCUCGAACUGCAACCAGAGCUAUUUUUCAAGAUGUCACAUGAAAUCUACAAAUAUGGAGAGGAGUAAGUAGAAGCUACCAGAUGUUAUUCAUAUGACUCGGGACUAAAACUGAUUUCAAACUUAAACAAAUGAUUUGGUCUUUGGCAGCUUGAUUGGAAAAGUUGCUGCAGAUCAUAGUCAUAAAUGGAUUUACAAAGAACAUAGUGAUCCAGAAAACAAUCUUUUCUCUGCAUGGCAAAACUUGGGAGACCUUGUAAGUACUGCAUAUGCCAACAUCAUAUUUUUUUUCUUUCCAUUUGAUCUGGUCUCGCUACUGUCUGCCUGUUUUUCUUUGAAUUACUAUUUGCAGCAUCCAAGGACAUGGAGGGCUCAGUUUCAGUCCGGCAUAAAGGUUCAUUACAAGAAUCACUGUUUCUUGCUACUUUUCUUUGCUUAAAACUUCCAAGACCUAAUUAAUUCUUGUUUGAGUGUAUAACACAAAGCAAUCUUUUGCACCAACUGUUAAGUGAAGUUUAAACCAUUUUUUUGUUAAGUGAAGUACUUUUUAUUUUUAUUUUGGAGAGGUGUGUUCUAAAAUUUCCAGUAAUCAUCUUCUUGGAACAACAGUUGCAGGUAUUUGAUACCUAUAUGCAAUCUGGAGGUUAAAAGCUAAGUGUCUAGUUUAAUUUUCACAAAGUGGUCAUGGGAAGUUUGAUCCUCUUAAGUUUGUUCCUGAAGCAAGACCUAUGGUCCAACAACUAAUGGUUCUUUUUUUCAAACAAAAUUGCAGACAAUAGCUUUGAUUGCAGUGAAGGAAGGCGUUCUUCAAUUGGGAUCUGUUAAAAAGGUCCAAUGUCUCUUCUCUCCGAACAUUGAUUAUAUAUAGAUGUUUUAUCAUUUAUGCAUGUAUAUGUUGGACCUCUGUUUCUUCACCCACUAAAUACUCUUCAUAGUAUUUUAGGUGACAGAAGACCUCAAUUAUGUUACUAUCCUACAAAAGAAAUUCACUCAUCUCCUUAGUAUCCCCGGUUUCCUCCUACCUCAUCCAGCAUCAUGGUCAUCGUCAUCAAUUCCAUCCAAGACUAAUUGUGGCAGUGACAACAUUGUGUCCAACACCUGUCCUUUCCAAGCAGCUUGCCCUCCCCUGACAGCAAUGAAUUUCUAUGAUCAUGCCAAUCAGCCAAUGGUUAUCACUCCAUCUAUGAGCAGCCUUGAGGCACUCCUCUCAAAGCUCCCAUCCGUUGAGCCAACACCGUCCACACCUUUGUCUGGCUACCAUGAGACACCACCAAGGCUAAUAUCCAUCCAAAAGCCACUGGAACUGGAUAUCGAGGUGGUAGCAAUGGAGAUAAAUGAAAGGAAAGAACAUUAGUGAGACUAGCAGUUUCAUGUACUGGUAUCAUUACUGCUGGCUAUGUAAGAUGAUAUAAGAUCAGGUGAGGUACCUUCUAACCUGUCAAUUUUCAGUAUGUCCCAUUAUUGAUUUAUCCUGUCACUGGUAUAUCAUAUGCAGUUGUCCCAGGUAGAAUUUGACUGUGUUUGACUAUUCUAUGUGAAAAAUUCUCAUCUCUAGUCAUUUUUCUACAAUUACUUUCCUAGAAAAACAGGGCAAAACAAGUAGGGGUCUGUAUUAAACCAGGAAUCUGCUUAAUUCCAAUUGGGAAAAACAGGGCUGUGUAUCCUAGAGGUCCAUUUACAUAUCAAAGGUUUUGUGUAUCCUCAAUCUUCCCAGACCCCAGUUGGGUAAAACAAGGUGGAGAUUUGUUUGGUAGCCAAAGCUCUACUCAUGUAACUCGAUGGAAACACGAAGAAAACACAAGAAAGAUGCACGGUUUGGAGACUGAUAUAUGGUAAAAGGAUGUCCAUUAAGGUUCCCACUAUAGCCAUACAUCUUCCAGAUAUUUUGAUGGUGAAAACAUGUGACUGAAACGUGAAAAAAAAAAUAUGUAGUCCGGAGAGGGCCAGGAUGUCUGUAUGAGCCCUCUUCCUCCAUUAAGGUUCCCAGAUUUGUCUUGGAGAUAUUUUGCCACUGAUUCGGGUAACAGUAGACAGGUAAAUUGAGUGGCUCAAAUACUAGAAAGCAAAGCCCCUGACAAGGUAAUUACAUCAGUCUUAAUAUUUGAUUCCAUCCGAGAUAUAUUAAAAAGAAGUGACACCGAAGCGGCUGGCUCACUCGGCCCACUUAAGUGAGCCUGGGUCCAACCCUUUAAUGGACCAUGGCCCAAGGUCCAAGCCUGUAUAGGCCGGACAAGGGUGACCACUGUGCCGGACACUGAAUCGAAAUAGAAAGAAGCUUGGCUAGAGGAAAGCCCACUACUUCAAAACCCGAGCACCAAUGCCAAACUAUGAUCCAUUUACUAGGCCAAGGCAGGAUGCAUUCUCUUAUGCCAUGAAUACCUCUUAACAUUGCCUAGUUUUGUUGACCUAAGUAAUGAGUCCACCCAAAGGUAACAUGAGGGGAAUCAAGGAGUUGACUUGUAGGAUUAACAAGAGACCCUUUCGAUAGUUUGUCAAUUGCCACAUGGUCAAACUUGACAAGACAAUAGCGAUCGAAUACAGUAGUCAUGAUGUCAUCUAAAAGGGUAAGUUUGACUAGCCAAUAACGACUUAACUCUUUUUUCAUGAGGCAUUCCAAACAAUAGUUUAAAAUGAUAGGGUUGACUAAUCAAUAGUAGCUCGAUUCUAUUUUUGUACGAUCAUCCAAGUAAUAGCUUGAGCAAGCAAAAGUGAUAGAGGGAAUUUGGGAGCUUACUUAUACCCCUUGGACACUCUCAAUCAUUUGUCAAUUACCACAUGGGUAGAUUGAUAAGACGGUGGCGACCAAGAUAUAUUAGUCAUGGUGUUGUUGUCUGGAAGGUUAAGGUUGACCAGUCAAUAACGACUCAAUUCUAUUUUCAUAAAACAGUCCAAACAAUACUUUAAAAAGCUAAGGUUGAUGAGCCAAUUGCAACUUAGUUCUAUUUUUGUAAGGUCAUCCGAGUAAUAGUCAACCAAAAUUUGGUUGACUAUGGGUAUACAUGGAUGACUUAGUUCCAAAAAAAACAAACUUGUUUUUGCCCAUUAGAUCCCUAAUUCAUUUCUCAUACUCAUCUUGCCAGUUAUAGUGUAUUUAAUGGUGUUUUUAAUAGAAAUAUUUAUUUAAAAAUGUUUUUAGGAUAAUCACUUAUCAAGUGUUUCUUUAGAAAAUAUUAUAAAUGAUUUUUCAAAUUUUUAUUUCAUAAAUUUUUUCAAACAUAUUUAAAAAAAAAAACACACACACACAUAUUUUAAGUUAAAAACACUUCAUAAAAUUACUGUCAAAGUACAUUUGAUAAUAAUUAUAGAAAAUAUUUCUAAUAUUUCUAACACUCGAAAAUUAUUAUUUUUUAAGAAUUUAAAAAGUUAAAAAUACUUUAAAAAAUCACUAUAAAUACACUUUUAGAACUUGUUUGAUACUAGAAAAUUUUUAUUACUUAAUUAUUAAAAAUAUUUAAAAUGCUUUGUAGAAUCCCUGGCAUGUUUAGUCUUAAAAUUGAGCUACUAACUUUGACCCAAUCAUUUGAUGCAAACCUUUUUUGUGCAACUUCGCUAGUAACUUUGGACCAAUCAUUGUGUAAAUUUGUACCAACCUGGUCGUUGGAGAGGCACACUCGAGAAUUCCUUGAUUACCCUUGCUAGCUUGUAGGAAUUUGUGUUAGUGGAGUACCUGUUACUUGCUCGAUCAUUCAUCAGACAGGGGGGCAAGGUUGUUUUUGGACUUGCCCAUUUACCGACCCGCAUUAAUUAGAAGCACCUACUCCAACAUGUUACAAGAGAAAAUCCAGUAAGCAUCAGCAAUGUUUUGCUUAGUGAGUUCAAACUGCACCCAGAGGACACGUAAGAUAAUGCCUUCUACGUAACCUCCAUGAAUCAAUAUACAAACAGGGGGAUGAUGUAUAUCACAAAUAUUGCUAUAGAAAAUGACUGGUGGUACCAUAAAUUCCCCCUUGCUUCUCCCCAAAAGGAGGGAUAAGGUCUAGUAAUAGCAAAGGACGUGAGUAGGCCACCGACGCCUUUAUAUGGUGGUGGUCUGCCUUAUCUCCAUAUCCCCAUAUGCUUGGUUGCAGGCAGCAGAAAGAUAUUUUGCUAAAGCGAAGGAAAAGCCAGAAUACCUGUGGAUGAAUUUGUAAAAGCCACAUGCGUUAACAGUAACUAAGCCCUUCUGAAACACACGGAAUCAUCACGUGUAUACAUCCACACCUGGGGCUGGGGCUCUUGAUCUUUUAGGCCAAAAGCAUGAUUUGUCAGCCACGUACUGCCUUUGCUUUUGGUUUGCCAGCUAACUAACCAAACUAAGCCCUUCUGAAACACACGGAAUCAUCACAUGUAUACAUCCACACCUGGGGCUCUUGAUCUUUUAGGCCAAAAGCAUGAUUUGUCAGCCACGUACUGCCUUUGCUUUUGGUUUGCCAGCUAACUAACCAGUACUCUUCCCGGCAAUGGAAAUUAAGAUCAGGAUCUGACGUGGAGAUCAAAUAGAGGACGGGAGUUGGACAGCUGUCAGGAUUCGAGGAUUACGAGGACAGAUAUUGUCCAGAUGCCAAAACUAGUGGCUAGAAUGAGGGUGCGAGAGCUGUCAGGGCUGGUUGAAAGCCAUUGGACUGAUCAUGAGUCACAGACUCACAGACUCAGAGACUCACAGGACUCACAGCCACCAGUGUUGGAUAGCAGCAAAUAAUGGUACCUGUUCACACAGAUUUCUCUCCACAAGUCUUAAGCCCACAAGGACAAAGCUAGCUAGCUAGCUAGCAAACAUCACAACAUGCUUACUCUCUUGACUACUCUUCUCAUUUAUAUUAUACUCCAAACCAACACAACCCACUACUCUUAUCUCGGCUUUCUCUAUUUCUCUCCAUUCUUACAUCAUGGGUUCAUACAAAAAUGUAUGUCUUCAAAAGAAUACAAGGAGGAGGGGAGCGCCAAGAAAGGUUCUAAUGAAGUUCCAGAAGCUCCAGAGGCUAGUGCCUGGUGGACAUGGGCUGCAGCCGGACCAGCUUUUCCUGCAGACUGCUGAUUACAUUCUGCAUUUGAAGUUGCAAGUUAAUGUACUGGAAGCCAUUCUCAAGCUGCAUGGGCCAUGAGUCACUGCAUUUUUCCUACAUAUUAUUCUCUGUGUGUAGUACCACAAAUAUGAGUUUUUCAUGGUUUUUGUGCACUAGAUUCAAAUCGAAGUUGCCUUCUUGUAAAUUGAAUGAUUUGUGUGUGUUAUAUAUAUAGCCUGGAUAUGACUCUUCUCUAUGUUUAUUUUUCCUCUAAUUUUUCAACAAUGGGAGGCAUAUUUUUGUGGCUAUGAAGCAGGAAUAGUGAAGAUAAGGCUAGCUAAAUGUCACAGUUUGACUAAUAAUAUUACUCAAAAAGAACAAAAUCUCAGUCCAUUUGCACAGUUGUAUGACACCUUAUCCUACAGCCAAGAAACAGGUCAUUUAUUGAGAGAGUGAGACUAGGUUGAAAUUCAACCCAUUAGGGGGUGUUGAGCUGUUGAAGAAGAGGAUACUGAAAGAGGUUAAGGCAUGCAUGUUCUUCUACCAGGCCAUGGCACCUAAUUUCAUAAUUAGUUUUGGUAGAUCUGUUGGGGAUGAGGAAACAAUUAAGUACUGUAUCCUGUACAUCAUGGGAUUGCUGGCCAGAGUAGAAUACGUAGCUACUGUUUCUGUGUGAGAAAUGGGAAGCCUCAGCUCUUCACAUGAUCCCAUGGCUUUCAUGAAAAUCUGAGGUAAAAUCCAAGGCAAGGAAAAUAUAGAAGAAAAUUAAAAAAUAAAUAAAUAAUAAAAAAUAGAUUUAAAGUUAAUAAAUUAUUUUU